GAGGGCCCUCUGGGUCCAACCUCCCACCCGUGUCUAUCGUACCUUGUUGCUUCGGCGGGCCCGCCGUUUCGACGGCCGCCGGGGAGGCCUUGCGCCCCCGGGCCCGCGCCCGCCGAAGACCCCAACAUGAACGCUGUUCUGAAAGUAUGCAGUCUGAGUUGAUUAUCGUAAUCAGUUAAAACUUUCAACAACGGAUCUCUUGGUUCCGGCAUCGAUGAAGAACGCAGCGAAAUGCGAUAAGUAAUGUGAAUUGCAGAAUUCAGUGAAUCAUCGAGUCUUUGAACGCACAUUGCGCCCCCUGGUAUUCCGGGGGGCAUGCCUGUCCGAGCGUCAUUGCUGCCCUCAAGCACGGCUUGUGUGUUGGGCCCCCGUCCCCCUCUCCCGGGGGACGGGCCCGAAAGGCAGCGGCGGCACCGCGUCCGGUCCUCGAGCGUAUGGGGCUUUGUCACCUGCUCUGUAGGCCCGGCCGGCGCCAGCCGACACCCAACUUUAUUUUUCUAAGGUUGACCUCGGAUCAGGUAGGGAUACCCGCUGAACUUAAGCAUAUCAAUAAGCGGAGGAAAAGAAACCAACAGGGAUUGCCUCAGUAACGGCGAGUGAAGCGGCAAGAGCUCAAAUUUGAAAGCUGGCCCCUUCGGGGUCCGCGUUGUAAUUUGCAGAGGAUGCUUCGGGUGCAGCCCCCGUCUAAGUGCCCUGGAACGGGCCGUCAUAGAGGGUGAGAAUCCCGUCUGGGACGGGGUGUCUGCGUCCGUGUGAAGCUCCUUCGACGAGUCGAGUUGUUUGGGAAUGCAGCUCUAAAUGGGUGGUAAAUUUCAUCUAAAGCUAAAUACUGGCCGGAGACCGAUAGCGCACAAGUAGAGUGAUCGAAAGAUGAAAAGCACUUUGAAAAGAGAGUUAAACAGCACGUGAAAUUGUUGAAAGGGAAGCGUUUGCGACCAGACUCGCCCGCGGGGUUCAGCCGGCAUUCGUGCCGGUGUACUUCCCCGUGGGCGGGCCAGCGUCGGUUUGGGCGGCCGGUCAAAGGCCCUCGGAAUGUAUCACCUCUCGGGGUGUCUUAUAGCCGAGGGUGCAAUGCGGCCUG
rnacentral:rRNA from 1 species